GUGCCUUUUGAAGAAUGAGCCUGCGAGUCAGGGACAUGUCGCGAGGUUAACCCGUGUGGGGUAGCCGUAGCGAAAGCGAGUCUGAAUAGGGCGUAUCCACACAAGAGUGUGUGGUGUAGUGGUGUGUUCUGGACCCGAAGCGGAGUGAUCUACCCAUGGCCAGGGUGAAGCGCGGGUAAGACCGCGUGGAGGCCCGAACCCACUUAGGUUGAAGACUGAGGGGAUGAGUUGU
rnacentral:rRNA from 1 species